rnacentral:tRNA from 1 species
GGCCCUGUAGCUCAGUUGGUAGAGCAAUGGAUUGAAAAUCCAUGUGUCGCCGGUUCGACUCCGGCUGGGGCCACCA